GGUUGACCUCGAUCAGGUAGGGUUACCCGCUGAACUUAAGCAUAUCAAUAAGCGGAGGAAAAGAAACCAACAG
rnacentral:rRNA from 1 species